rnacentral:rRNA from 1 species
UACGGGGGGGGCAAGCGUUGUUCGGAUUCACUGGGCGUAAAGGGUGCGUAGGCGGUCGGGUAAGUCUGAUGUGAAAUCUCCAAGCUUAACUUGGAAAUGGCAUCGGAUACUAUUCGGCUCGAGGAAUGGAGGGGAGACUGGAAUACUUGGUGUAGCAGUGAAAUGCGUAGAUAUCAAGUGGAACACCAGUGGCGAAGGCGAGUCUCUGGACAUUUCCUGACGCUGAGGCACGAAAGCCAGGGGAGCAAACGGG